GAAAAAGAAAAAGAAAAAAACAGGAUUACCCUUAAGUAAAGCCAAGGUAGAAGUAGAAAUUACCACUAACAAAAGCUGAGAAAGCAUCAAGAGGCAUCUUUCUUCAACAGUAUUGUAGUGAACCAGAAAUGUUCCCAGGUGCUGGGAGGUGAUGGUGGGCGAACCACAGACAAGGCCUCUCCUUGUGGCAGUUAAACUAGUGGGAAGGAUGACUUUAACCAGAUCAUCAUCAUAAAAUAGACAUGUAACAUUAUCAAACAUAGUGAUUGCUUCCAAGGGGGAGAACUGGAUCUUGUGAGAGCGAUUGACAGACAAAGGGAUUGAAAGAGGAAUUGAAUCUGGAGGAAGUGACAGGGAGUGUGUCCAGGCAGAAGAAAUCAAAGCCUGUUACCAGUGGCACGAGGAAUCCUCUCUGGAAAAGCUCAGUUCAAAAUGCAGAGUUAAGAAAUAAUUUCUUGGAGGAUUUCCUGAUAGAAACGUGCCAUUGCCUUUUUCAGUGACAGGUGGCACUAGAAUUCCAUGUGAAUGUUUUUUAUUCAUUCAAAGAGCUGAAGAACCAGCUUGAGGAAAGUGUAGAGCUAUGCAAAUCCAGUUCUGCAGAGAUCCCAGUUCUCAGGUCUCCCACUCCACCUUCCAACCCAGCUGCCAACCAGACCGACUUCAUUUCUCGCCGUGCUGAAACCAGUUAUUGGCAGAGGAAUGGAACCACUGUGAUGAGUUCGAUCAGGGGCCCAGUCUCCUGCUCCACUCUGUUUACAUUCACACGCCAGAGAGGCGAACCUAAGGAGAUGAGCGCCUUCUCCUUCCCUUCCCACGGCUCAGAUCCUGCUUCU